AGUUUGAUCMUGGCUCAGGACGAACGCUGGCGGCGUGCUUAACACAUGCAAGUCGAACGAAGUUGCUCUUUGGGAAGCCCUCGGGUGGAACUGUGAGUAAGUGGCGGACGGGUGAGUAACGCGUGAGCAAUCUGCCCUGCAAUGGGGGACAACAGUUGGAAACGACUGCUAAUACCGCAUAAGACCACGAAACCGCAUGGUUUAGAGGUAAAAGGAUUCAUUCGAUGCAGGAUGAGCUCGCGUCCCAUUAGAUAGUUGGUGAGGUAACGGCCCACCAAGUCAACGAUGGGUAGCCGACCUGAGAGGGUGAUCGGCCACAUUGGAACUGAGAAACGGUCCAAACUCCUACGGGAGGCAGCAGUGGGGAAUAUUGGGCAAUGGGGGAAACCCUGACCCAGCAACGCCGCGUGAAGGAAGAAGGCCUUCGGGUUGUAAACUUUUGUCCUAUGGGACGAAAAAAAUGACGGUACCAUAGGAGGAAGCUCCGGCUAACUACGUGCCAGCAGCCGCGGUAAUACGUAGGGAGCAAGCGUUGUCCGGAAUUACUGGGCGUAAAGGGUGCGUAGGUGGCCAUGUAAGUCAGGUGUGAAAGACCGGGGCUCAACCCCGGGGUUGCACUUGAAACUGUGUGGCUUGAGUACAGGAGAGGGAAGUGGAAUUCCUAGUGUAGCGGKG
rnacentral:rRNA from 1 species